rnacentral:rRNA from 1 species
GAUGAACGCUAGCGGCAGGCCUAACACAUGCAAGUCGAGGGGUAGAACACUUCGGUGUUUGAGACCGGCGCACGGGUGCGUAACGCGUAUGCAAUCUACCUUGUACAGGGGAAUAGCCCAGAGAAAUUUGGAUUAAUGCCCCAUAGUAUAUAACCUUCGCAUGUUGGUUAUGUUAAAGUUCCAACGGUACAAGAUGAGCAUGCGUCCCAUUAGUUAGUUGGUAAGGUAACGGCUUACCAAGACGAUGAUGGGUAGGGGUCCUGAGAGGGAGAUCCCCCACACUGGUACUGAGACACGGACCAGACUCCUACGGGAGGCAGCAGUGAGGAAUAUUGGUCAAUGGGCGCAAGCCUGAACCAGCCAUGCCGCGUGCAGGAAGACGGUCCUAUGGAUUGUAAACUGCUUCUAUACAGGAAGAAACCCUCCCACGUGUGGGAGAUUGACGGUACUGUAGGAAUAAGGAUCGGCUAACUCCGUGCCAGCCGCCGCCGUAAUAC